rnacentral:tRNA from 1 species
AGCGCGAUGGAGCAGUUCGGUAGCUCGCUGGGCUCAUAACCCAGAGGUCGCUGGUUCAAAUCCGGCUCGCGCCAC